GCCGGGAUAGCUCAGCUGGGAGAGCAACAGACUGAAGUGCUUCCGCAUUCUGGAGGUCCCGUGUUCAAUCCACGGUCCUGGCA
rnacentral:tRNA from 1 species